rnacentral:rRNA from 1 species
CAGUGAAAUUGAACUCGCUGUGAAGAUGCAGUGUACCCGCGGCAAGACGGAAAGACCCCGUGAACCUUUACUAUAGCUUGACACUGAACAUUGAGCCUUGAUGUGUAGGAUAGGUGGGAGGCUUAGAAGUGUGGACGCCAGUCUGCAUGGAGCCGACCUUGAAAUACCACCCUUUAAUGUUUGAUGUUCUAACGUUGACCCGUAAUCCGGGUUGCGGACAGUGUCUGGUGGGUAGUUUGACUGGGGCGGUCUCCUCCUAAAGAGUAACGGAGGAGCACGAAGGUUGGCUAAUCCUGGUCGGACAUCAGGAGGUUAGUGCAAUGGCAUAAGCCAGCUUGACUGCGAGCGUGACGGCGCGAGCAGGUGCGAAAGCAGGUCAUAGUGAUCCGGUGGUUCUGAAUGGAAGGGCCAUCGCUCAACGGAUAAAAGGUACUCCGGGGAUAACAGGCUGAUACCGCCCAAGAGUUCAUAUCGACGGCGGUGUUUGGCACCUCGAUGUCGGCUCAUCACAUCCUGGGGCUGAAGUAGGUCCCAAGGGUAUGGCUGUUCGCCAUUUAAAGUGGUACGCGAGCUGGGUUUAGAACGUCGUGAGACAGUUCGGUCCCUAUCUGCCGUGGGCGCUGGAGAACUGAGGGGGGCUGCUCCUAGUACGAGAGGACCGGAGUGGACGCAUCACUGGUGUUCGGGUUGUCAUGCCAAUGGCACUGCCCGGUAGCUAAAUGCGGAAGAGAUAAGUGCUGAAAGCAUCUAAGCACGAAACUUGCCCCGAGAUGAGUUCUCCCUGACCCUUUAAGGGUCCUGAAGGAACGUUGAAGACGACGACGUUGAUAGGCCGGGUGUGUAAGCGCAGCGAUGCGUUGAGCUAACCGGUACUAAUGAACCGUGAGG